GCGCAAUUGGGCCUGGAAAUUCAUAACUUAUCCCCGAAUUAGCACUUAGCAGAAACUCCCUUUCAAACUGUAAAGAGAUUUGAUGCCCAGGAAUCGAUUUGACGAAAGAAGAAAAAUGCCUUGGUCUUUUUGUUCUCUCUUCUUUUUCCACAGUGAAGAGGAAAGAAAAAUGCCCAGGAUUAUCUUGUGGACAGCAAAGUUGAUUUCAUGUGCUUUGUUGUCUGCUUAUUUUCAAAUCCCUUGGAAACAAAGUCAGAACCUGAAAUCACUAUCCUUAAACAUGCAAUUCCCAAUGUUGCAAGUCAUUUUCAGCUUCAUAGUUUUCGGUAUCAGCCUCCCUUUCCCCUUCUCUGUCAUCAUGGACGCUUCCAUUUUCUUCUUCCUCAUCUUCAUCUACUUCUACUUCAUCUUCCUCGUACUCCCCUUCUUCUAGUUCCUGGAUGUCAUCCAAGAAAAUAAUUAAGCAUGCUGCAUAUAUAU
rnacentral:lncRNA from 1 species